rnacentral:rRNA from 1 species
CUGGCUCAGGAUGAACGCUAGCGAUAGGCCUAACACAUGCAAGUCGAGGGGCAUCACAUGAAGCAGCAAUGCGGAUGGUGGCGACCGGCGCACGGGUGAGUAACGCGUAUGCAAUCUACCUACAACAGGGGAAUAACCCGUUGAAAGACGGACUAAUGCCCCAUAAUACAGGGGUCCCGCAUGGGAAUAUUUGUUAAAGAUUUAUCGGUUGUAGAUGAGCAUGCGUUCCAUUAGCUGGUUGGUGAGGUAACGGCCCACCAAGGCAACGAUGGAUAGGGGAACUGAGAGGUUUAUCCCCCACACUGGUACUGAGACACGGACCAGACUCCUACGGGAGGCAGCAGUGAGGAAUAUUGGUCAAUGGACGCAAGUCUGAACCAGCCACGUCGCGUGAAGGAAGACGGCCCUACGGGUUGUAAACUUCUUUUGUAAGGGAAUAAAGUGUAGUACGCGUACUAUUUUGCAUGUACCUUACGAAUAAGGAUCGGCUAACUCCGUGCCAGCAGCAGC